rnacentral:rRNA from 1 species
AAUCUGGGGCCCAUGGCCUCUGAGUUGUAAUUUGGAGAGGCAUCUUCUGGGGGGAGCGCCGGCCCAUGUUCCUUGGAACAGGACGUCACAGAGGGUGAGAAUCCCGUGCGAGGCUGGUGGCCUCCUCCCAUGUGGAGGGCCUUCGACGAGUCGAGUUGUUUGGGAAUGCAGCUCCAAGUGGGUGGUAAAUCUCAUCUAAAGCUAAAUACCGGCGGGAGACCGAUAGCGCACAAGUAGAGUGAUCGAAAGAUGAAAAGCACUUUGAAAAUAGAGUCAAAAAGUACGUGAAAUUGUUGAAAGGGAAGCGCUUGAGACCAGACUCGGGCCCGGGCAAACACCGCGCUCUUCGGGGCCGUGCAAUUGCCUGGGCCUGGGCCAGCAUCAGUUGGUGUGGCGGGACAAAGGGGCGGGCAAUGUGGCUCCCCACGGGGAGUGUUAUUAGGCCCGCCCUCAAUGCCGCCGACGUCGACUGAGGACCGCGCCUCGGCUAGGAUGCUGGCUCAAUGGCCUUCAGCGACCCGUCUUGAAACACGGA